GACGAACGCUGGCGGCGUGCUUAACACAUGCAAGUCGAACGGAAAGGCCCUGCUUUUGUGGGGUGCUCGAGUGGCGAACGGGUGAGUAACACGUGAGUAACCUGCCCUUGACUUUGGGAUAACUUCAGGAAACUGGGGCUAAUACCGGAUAGGAGCUCCUGCUGCAUGGUGGGGGUUGGAAAGUUUCGGCGGUUGGGGAUGGACUCGCGGCUUAUCAGCUUGUUGGUGGGGUAGUGGCUUACCAAGGCUUUGACGGGUAGCCGGCCUGAGAGGGUGACCGGCCACAUUGGGACUGAGAUACGGCCCAGACGCCUACGGGAGGCAGCAGUGGGGAAUAUGGCACAAUGGGCGGAAGCCUGAUGCAGCAACGCCGCGUGCGGGAUGACGGCCUUCGGGUUGUAAACCGCUUUCGCCUGUGACGAAGCGUGAGUGACGGUAAUGGGUAAAGAAGCACCGGCUAACUACGG
rnacentral:rRNA from 1 species